AUGGUGUUUCCAAGUGGAUAAAGCAGCACGUUAUCAUUUCCCAUCCUUCACAAUCUUAAAGCCGUUGGCCAACUCAGGCAAUCCAAAGGAAAUGAGGCUCCUGAGCAAGGAGAGAAGCUUUAUGAGUACUCUAAGCAAUGUGGAAACUGAGGCUCAGAGAUAUUAAGAAAGUUGUCCAAAUGGAUGCCUCCAAUAAUGAGGAGGAAACGGCUUCACCACAGCAAACAGCAUUUGUGUGUCAUCCAUCAGAUGAGGAGCUGUUCAGUGUUUGGCCUGCCCUGAAGCAGAUGAGAAGAAUCCCUCGCUUCCACAGCUGGAUGCUUCCAAGCACACAGAACAGCAUUAGUAGGAAGCGAUCGUGUGUCUUCAAAUAGAUUCUGUCUCCCUCUCUCUCCACGCCCCCCCCCCCGUCUGUUUC